CUUGGGCACUUUACUGUUAGAUGCCCUCAUGCGUUCUGUGAGAGAUGCAAAAAGAGAGGUCAUCUGUCUUUUGUCUGCAGCGAGUUCUUCCCCUGGGAUCACACACCUGUGAUGUGUGCAUUUCAAACUAAGGGUCAGGGUUUCUUUUACAUCCCUGAUUUUAGUGUGGAUAGACAGAACAGGGAUAAUAUUUUCAAUAUUGUUGUCACCAUCACUGAUGGCUCGGCUCUGACCAAGGAUAUUGAACACGAGCUGAGCGUGUAUGUUGGUCAGGGGUGGCGCUGCUCUGCUAGAUUCUUUGCUCCACAAAAAUUCAUUAUGAGAAUGCCGAACCCUAGAGAGGUUGAGAGAGCUCUGUUUGUUGAACAUAUUAAGCUGAAAAAGUGUGGGGUUAGUGUUAAAUUCUCUCCUUGGUCUGAAGAUAUUGAUUCUGAGGGACUGCUUGAAAUUGCCUGGGUCAAGAUUGGAAAAAUUCCACCUAACAAGAGAUGUGAUAAGACUAUAGCUUAUGUGGGA
rnacentral:rRNA from 1 species